rnacentral:rRNA from 1 species
AGAGUUUGAUCAUGGCACAGAACGAACGCUGGCGGCGCGUUUUAAGCAUGCAAGUCGGACGGCAAGCACUGUAGCAAUAUGGUGCCUAGAGUGGCGAACGGGUGAGUAACACGUAGGUGAUCUGCCUCUGGAUGGGGGAUAGCCUGUGGAAACACAGGGUAAUACCGCAUAAGGCCCUUGGUGUAAAGGCCGAGGGUGAAAGGUGCAAUUGCACCGUCUGGGGAUGAGCCUGCGCUCCAUUAGUUAGUUGGCGGGGUAAGAGCCCACCAAGACGACGAUGGAUAGCCGGCCUGAGAGGGUGUACGGCCACACUGGAACUGAGACACGGUCCAGACUCCUACGGGAGGCAGCAGCUAAGAAUCUUCCGCAAUGGGGGAAACCCUGACGGAGCGACGCCGCGUGGAUGAUGAAGGCCGUAAGGUUGUAAAAUCCUUUUGUCGGUGAAGAAUAAGGGGAGGAGUGGAAAGCCUUCCUGAUGACGUUAGCCGGCGAAUAAGCCCCGGCCAAUUACGUGCCAGCAGCCGCGGUAAUACGUAUGGGGCAAGCGCUGUUCGGAGUUAUUGGGCGUAAAGGGCGUGUAGGCGGCUCAUCAAGUCUGGUGUGAAAUCGUCAGGCUCAACCUGACAUAUGCGCUGGAAACUGGUGGGCUUGAGUUCUUGAGGGGAAGCUGGAAUUCCAGGUGUAGGGGUGAAAUCUGUAGAUAUCUGGAAGAACACCGGUGGCGAAGGCGAGCUUCU